UAACAACCAAAAAUCAUCAAAUUGAUAAGGAGAUCAAGGGAAAAAUCGAAUGCAUGGGUCUGGAUACUCUUUAAUCUAAGUGUAUUGAUCAUAAGGAACGUGUCAAGGAGAGCUCAAGCAUAGGAGGAUAACGGGUCAAGAUAAGGCAAGGUGACAAAUACACUUAUUGGAGUACUCAAGGUAAGUGAUUUCUAUAAUCACUUCUUUAGUUGUUUAAGUAAUAUAAUGUGUUAAUUAUUAAGUUCAUAUGAAGUUGAGGUCAAAUCAAUAGAUUAUUUUGAUAAAUGCACGAAUGGGUCGAAUAAUUCAUAGAUAAAUAACAAGCCGAAUACGUAUAAGUUAAGAAAUUCCUUAACUCGGAUGUUGGACUUCAAGGUCACAUGAUAGAAUAUUAAAUUACAAUCAUAUAGGAAGAAACGUGACGCAAAACGGAUGAAAAAUGAGAGAGUUAUGUCCGUUUCGGUAAGGAUUAAUGGCUAGGAAAAGCGCAGAGUUGACACGGCCGGGUGGUGAACUGACACGGCCGGGUGAAGGUUCUGUCAAAAAUAUUAUUUAUGUGAUUUAUGCGCCGUAGGUUGCGGUAUAUUAUCCGUGAAUUACGACGGGCCUCCCAAACAUGGUUUCGAGUGUUUCCUUGACGAUUAUAAGUUGUAAACCCAAGUCUAAGCCUCAUGUAAUUUAUAUAAGAGGGUGUUAGAUGUAUGUAAUGAGGUUGGACAUGUAUUACAUGUAAAUGUAUACAAAAAUACGUACGGAACACGUAGAUGUGUAUGAUUGUAAGAUCGUAUGUGUGCAAGUAUGUGCGAAUGCAUGA
rnacentral:lncRNA from 1 species